CAAUGCUACGUGACUAAAUAUUUGCUGUUCUUCUUGUGGAUGCAUGUACUCCCAUGAUUCCACGCGGCGCGACAUUUUCUCUGCUGCUGUACUGUCUGUAUGAAAACCAAGGUUGUAAUCUUUUCUCUUUGUUUACCACACACGUACUGCAGGUUCUUAAUUAUAAAACGCUAUAUAUCGUGUUCUAGAACAACACAGAUUUAAUGUAUGCUUAUUAGGUGUGAUGUGUCAAACAAAGUUUUCUUUUUGAAUAGUGCGCUCGUACAGAAUCUAAAACGUUGAGGCAACUGAUAGUUCAAAUCAUGUCGUCCUACUGGACGAAGCGGAGAAGAUUUAAUAAAACUGUAGAAGCAGAGUUGGCAGAACUGAAAGAAGAAAGUCAGAUCGAUGUAUUCAAUACACACUGAUACAAACAAUCACGAUUCACUGUCCCGUAGAGAAGGUGCUCACAGUUUUAGAUCUACAGAGUCAAAUAACAGUUUGAACCAGCAGACACCAGAACUCUCAGCGAAUACAUCAAGCCAGCAAUAUUUACCGACUAAAUGCAAUUUGGAUAAAAAUAAUGAUGAUGAUGUUGUGAAAUCUCAUUUUAUUUAAUUUGAAGAUUAUAUUUUGAUGAUCAGUUUGACCCAGCGAUAUCUUCAGACAGCGACAGUGAAACAGAUACAUAUUUGGCCACACAGUUGGCAUAUUGGGCCACAACUUUUAACAUUUCCAACAGUUCACUUUCAGUACUUCUUGCCUUGUUGGGACAAAAGGAUCUUGUAAUAACUGCUUACUUUAAUUGAUUGCUAAACCAUUAUCUAUGGCUGAAUGGUACCACUGGUAUUGUGUAAUAUUUCUCGUUAUGGCUUAUAUUUGUGUUACAUGUUCUUAAAAUUUACAUUAUGGAUGAUAGAUUUUUUUAAUAACAUUAAAUUAUGUGACAUUAUAACAUUGCAUGCCACAGAAGCAAACUGCAGUCAAUACAAUCAUAUCUCAGCUGAACAAGAUGCAUACUAUCCUUCCUGUAUACACCAUAGUUCCUUGAGUAUAACAGUGUAUAAAAAUAUAUGCAGUCAUAAUAUCUGACUGAAAUGUGACAGAUGAAAUCAAACGUCCAUCACUCCCAUAAAGACACACAGUUAGCCUCCCUGGUAAGAGUUCAUAGAGGAUUGUUUAUUUUUCAGCACGCUGAAAAGCUAGCAUACUGGCCACCAAGUGACAAAACAUGUUAAGGAGGGAGCUCUGCCAGAUAGACAUACCUGGACUCUUCAAGCUGUUUGCAUUUUGGUUCAAAGGAUGAAUAUUUGGUUGCCAGACAAAGGGGAUAACAGCCAGUAUACAUCAAACUUGGAUACAACAGAUGAUGACAGCACUAAAGGUCGAAAAGAACGGAAGAGGAAGAGAAACUAGUAGUCACAUUGUCUUGUGUUAGGGCAAGAGAGCUCAGACAAGGAGAAAGACUACUUUAGAUUGAAAUCAGUGCAUCCAGCUGUGCCAGCAGGACCAUUGCCAGACUCAUUGCAACCACAAGUGGCAAACAAGCGAUUAUGUCCACAGGUGAAUGCACUAACCACCAGAAUAUUGGCACCACGACGUGAGCACCCCAGUGACCAAAGUAUUGAUUCUCUGCAAGGAGUACAAGAGGAGACAGACCUCACAACUGCAGCAGUAGAAGACGGUACCCAGAGAGUGUCUAACGAAGCAUUAGCCGGCUCAUUCUGAAACAAGACACAGAAUUGAAAUUGAUGCUACAGGAAGUAAAAGAUAUGGUGAUUAAUUCACUGAAAAGCAAAGGAUGCUUUAGCAAAGGAUGCCUGAAUGUUGCCAGAAGAUUUGAUCCUUCCAAUUAGAACACAGCAGGAGCUGCUGGAACUGGAUGGACGCCUUAAUGAUGAUUCCUUUCAUGAAUUACUCAUCAAAAUGCUCUCCUGUGUGGGUAGAACAAAUGCAAAAGAUUGUGUGAAAAGAAUCAUGCGGUGACUCCUGACCGACAAGGUUGCUCAGAACUAUAACUGGAAAGGACAAAGGGAGAGAAUUAUGCUUUCAAGGGACUUAAGGUGCAGGCCAUGAUCUACAAAGCUGUAAAGGAGAAUUCUGGGUGUAUGGAGUCUUCCAAGAAAGUUAUUGAAGGAGCCAUCAAAGAGUGGAGACCAAUACUUCAGCAGACAGUGUUGUUCCACCUAUCCGUCAUCUUCCCGCCCGAGCUGCCAACCACAUCAGAGAGUGACGACUACUCUCCCGGCAACAGAGAAGUCUAGAGAUAUACAUGUAAUAUCUCCGACGACUGCAAUGCCACCUACAGCCGCUGAAUGCAAGUCCUGGUGACGUAGCCUUUGUCACUGGCUCUCCCCCACGCUCAACAGCUCUCUCUGACAUAUAACACUUCUGUCCUUUUACCUCCUUUUACUCCUCUACACUGGCAUGUAUGCCUCACUUUGCUGCAUAAAGGGAAGGGGGCGCUACUGUGUGGCUUGACCCUGGCUCGCUUUCGUCCUGUACGUUUUGACGUGUUCUGGAUUUCUACGGGAAUUCUGCUUUCUUCGGCUCGUGAAUAAAUUGACAUAAGUGGUACUGCAAUACAUCUGACUGUGUGAGGUAUCGGAUUCCUGUGUGUGAGUGUCCCUGUGCGGGAGAAUUUCUCCUUCCAAACCACGACCAUUACAAAUGGCGACGCAACCGUUAGUUUUACACUCAUAUGAUAUAGAAAAUAUAACAGAAACAGACUACAUGUGAGGCAAACCAGGACUUUCUGGCUGACAAAAUCACCUUCCUUCAGUGACUGACUGUCGCCCCUACCAAGCAGAUCUAUUCAGUCCCAAACCAGAGAUCUGCCAGAGAGUGUGAUACCAGUUCACUUUCGUCCUUCACAUUUUCAACUUGGUUUGAUUUCUAAGGAAUUUUGCUUAUAUCAGCUUGUGCACAGAUGGAUACAAACAGUACUGCAUUGCGUCUGACUGUGUGGAGCAUUGUAUUUUCUGUGCGUAAGUGUCCCCUCAGACUUAUAUCGGUUGGAAUGGCAACGUAGUCAAGCUGGUUUAUGCUGAAAACUUUCUGCUAUUGCUACGGCAGAAGGCCACACAGGCCCCUGAUGUGAAUUCAAGUGACAUUCUGACAAAGGGCAGGAACAGAAAAAAUAAACUGAGAGGAUCUAGAGGAGGCAUCAAACACAGACUGAGGAAAAGGGUGCCGACAUCCAUAACCAGCCAUCAUACUUAAUGAUACCCAUCCAUAUGUGUUGUGAGCAAUAUGUGUUAUGAGCGAAAGGAAAAUUUCUGUCUUGGGUUUCCUCGACAGACAAUAAAGUUUGAUUUUAUUAGAUUUGAUUUGAUAAGGUACAUCAGGCUUAUCACCAAGCCACUUUUGUCCUAAGUGGGACGCUUACUGAUAUUGUGCAUGAAUGUCUGAUAUUUGAGAUAUCUAAUAAUUACAUAUAAGAAGGUUUUAGCAUGUUAGAAUAUUUGAUAGAUUUUUAAAUACAUUUUUACUUGAAGCCUCUUCACAGACCUUUAAUUGUUCCACCUUGUUUUACAGUGUUGACAUUCUCAUAAGGCUGGUUAAUUGGAAUGAUAUGUACCUUGUAGAAGGGUAGAGAUGAUAACUUGAAUGUUGUGAUCUAAAAACGGGUUACUAUAUUUUUUGUUUAUUCUGUACAUCAUCCAAUUGUAUUUACCAUUCACUAUUUUUUAGUAAAUCUAAGGGUCUAUUAGUUUUGUUUUAGUUUAAUUAUUCCUUGGCACUCUGCAUGGAGCACAGUGCCGCAACACCUCUCCUUUAAGUAUUUGAAAUUGAAAUAUUUAAAAGUGUUAAUUUAAGAAAAAAUCCCUUGCAUUGAUUUGUCCGUGUUUAAUUAAAUCAUAUUCUUUUUCUCUUUUUUGAGUAUCAUUUAUUUAUUUUUAUCACAAAUGGUCACCAUUUUGUACUUGCUAUUGUAUGAUGUAAAUGUCUCCUGGGUUUAUACCCAGCGGCACAAAAUAUGUUUUAAUUAA
rnacentral:lncRNA from 1 species